GGAUUCGCGGCUUGGCUUCAGCAGCCUCUCUCAGCUUCGGUGUGGACAUAUCGGCUCUUAUGUGCCCAAGUUUUUCUUCAGCCUCUGACGUUUUUACAUUUCUUCGCUGAUUGUGGACACAGAUUUUCCUGAACCUCUCUGUUUUUGCACUCUGGGUUUUACAGUUUCUUGUGUGUGUAAAAAGCAAAUAAAGAAUGUGUUUGUGAACAGGUUAUUGCAGUCUGAAAUGUAAAGGGAAACUUUAUUUGAUUACAUUGUGUGAAUGUUCAGGCAUUAAAACUUUUUGGAAAGCUGAAUUGAAAGAAUAAAAAGUAAAUGUGUAAA